GACGAACGCUGGCGGCGUGCUUAACACAUGCAAGUCGAACGGAGUGGCGAACGGGUGAGUAACACGUGGGUGACCUGCCCUGCACUUCGGGAUAAGCCUGGGAAACUGGGUCUAAUACCGGAUAGUGUGGGAUGGGCCCGCGGCCUAUCAGCUUGUUGGUGGGGUAAUGGCCUACCAAGGCGGCGACGGGUAGCCGGCCUGGGAGGGUGGACGGCCAAAUGGGGACGGGGACACGGCCCAGACGCGUACGGGAGGAAGGAGUGGGGAGUAUUGCACAAGGGGCGAAGGCUUGAUGAAGGGACGCCGGGGGGGGAUGACGGCCUUCGGGUUGUAAACUCCUUUCACCAUCGACGCGGUAGAUGGAGAAGAAGCACCGGCUAACUACGUGCCAGCAGCCGCGGUAAUAC
rnacentral:rRNA from 1 species